rnacentral:rRNA from 1 species
AUCCAGACUCCUACGGGAGGCAGCAGUGGGGAGUAUUGCACAAUGGGGGAAACCCUGAUGCAGCAACGCCGCGUGAGUGAAGAAGUCAUUCGUGAUGUAAAGCUCUAUCAGCAGGGAAGAAAAUGACGGUACCUGACUAAGAAGCCCCGGCUAACUACGUGCCAGCAGCCGCGGUAAUACGUAGGGGGCAAGCGUUAUCCGGAUUUACUGGGUGUAAAGGGAGCGUAGACGGCGACGCAAGUCUGAAGUGAAAUGCCGGGGCUUAACCCCGGAACUGCUUUGGAAACUGUGCAGCUAGAGUGCAGGAGAGGUAAGUGGAAUUCCUAGUGUAGCGGUGAAAUGCGUAGAUAUUAGGAGGAACACCAGUGGCGAAGGCGGCUUGCUGGACGAUGACUGACGUUGAGGCUCGAAAGCGUGGGGAGCAAACAGGAUUAGAUACCCUCGUAUA